rnacentral:rRNA from 1 species
ACGAAGGGGGCAAGCGUUGUUCGGAAUUACUGGGCGUAAAGGGCGCGUAGGCGGCUUACCAAGUCAGGCGUGAAAUUCCCGGGCUCAACCUGGGGGCUGCGCUUGAUACUGGUGAGCUUGAAUACGGGAGAGGAUAGUGGAAUUCCCAGUGUAGAGGUGAAAUGCGUAGAGAUCUGGAGGAACACCGAUGGCGAAGGCAGCCCCCUGGGCUAACACUGACGCUCAUGCACGAAAGCGUGGGGAGCAAACAGGA